rnacentral:rRNA from 1 species
GGUUGUCGUCAGCUCGUGUCGUGAGAUGUGGUUAAGUCCCGCAACGAGCGCAACCCUCGACCUUAGUUGCCAGCAUUCAGUUGGGCACUCUAAGGUGACUGCCGGCUAAAAGUCGGAGGAAGGUGGGGAUGACGUCAAAUCAUCAUGCCCCUUAUGACCUGGGCUACACACGUGCUACAAUGGGCGGUACAAAGGGUCGCGAACCCGCGAGGGGGAGCCAAUCCCAAAAAGCCGCUCUCAGUUCGGAUUGCAGGCUGCAACUCGCCUGCAUGAAGCCGGAAUCGCUAGUAAUCGCGGAUCAGCAUGCCGCGGUGAAUACGUUCCCGGGCCUU